UGGGGAAUUCUGGACAAUGGGCGCAAGCCUGAUCCAGCCAUGCCGCGUGCGGGAAGAAGGCCUUCGGGUUGUAAACCGCUUUUGUCAGGGAAGAAAUCUUCUGAGUUAAUACCUCGGGAGGAUGACGGUACCUGAAGAAUAAGCACCGGCUAACUACGUGCCAGCAGCCGCGGUAAUACGUAGGGUGCAAGCGUUAAUCGGAAUUACUGGGCGUAAAGCGUGCGCAGGCGGUUUUGUAAGACAGAGGUGAAAUCCCCGGGCUCAACCUGGGAACUGCCUUUGUGACUGCAAGGCUUGAGUGCGGCAGAGGGGGGAUGGAAUUCCGCGUGUAGCAGUGAAAUGCGUAGAUAUGCGGAGGAAACACCGAUGGCGAAGGCAAUCCCCUGGGCCUGCACUGACGCUCAUGCACGAAAGCGUGGGGAGCAAAACAGGAUUAGAUACCCUGGUAGUCCACGCCCUAAACGAUGUCAACUGGUUGUUGGGAAGGUUCCUUCUCAGUAACGUAGCUAACGCGUGAAGUUGACCGCCUGGGGAGUACGGCCGCAAGGUUGAAACUCAAAUGAAUUGACGGGGUCAUAGCUGUUUCCUG
rnacentral:rRNA from 1 species